rnacentral:rRNA from 1 species
AUUGAACGCUGGCGGCAUGCUUUACACAUGCAAGUCGAACGGCAGCGCGGGCUUCGGCCUGGCGGCGAGUUGCGAACGGGUGAGUAAUUCAUCGGAACGUGCCCAGUAGUUGGGGAUAGCCCGGCGAAAGCCGGAUUAAUACCGCAUACGACCUUAGGGUGAAAGCGGGGGACCGAAAGGCCUCGCGCUAUUGGAGCGUCCGAUGUCGGAUUAGCUAGUUGGGGGGGUAAAGGCUUACCAAGGCGACGAUCCGUAGCUGGUCUGAGAGGACGACCAGCCACACUGGGACUGAGACACGGCCCAGACUCCUACGGGAGGCAGCAGUGGGGAAUUUUGGACAAUGGGGGCAACCCUGAUCCAGCCAUGCCGCGUGCGGGAAGAAGGCCUUCGGGUUGUAAACCGCUUUUGUUCGGGAAGAAAUCCUCUGGGCUAAUACCCCGGGGGGAUGACGGUACCGGAAGAAUAAGCACCGGCUAACUACGUG